rnacentral:rRNA from 1 species
UUCUUUGGAGAGUUUGAUCCUGGCUCAGGACGAACGCUGGCGGCGUGCCUAAUACAUGCAAGUCGAGCGGACCGGAUUGGGGCUUGCCUUGAUUCGGUCAGCGGCGGACGGGUGAGUAACACGUGGGCAACCUGCCCGCAAGACCGGGAUAACUCCGGGAAACCGGAGCUAAUACCGGAUAACACCGAAGGCCGCAUGGUCUUCGGUUGAAAGGCGGCCUUUGGGCUGUCACUUGCGGAUGGGCCCGCGGCGCAUUAGCUAGUUGGUGAGGUAACGGCUCACCAAGGCGACGAUGCGUAGCCGGCCUGAGAGGGUGACCGGCCACACUGGGACUGAGACACGGCCCAGACUCCUACGGGAGGCAGCAGUAGGGAAUCUUCCGCAAUGGGCGAAAGCCUGACGGAGCGACGC